AGAGUUUGAUCAUGGCUCAGGAUGAACGUUGGCGGUGUGCCUAAUACAUGCAAGUCGAACGGAGUUAAUAGCAAUAUUGACUUAGUGGCGAACGGGUGAGUAACGCGUUGGUGAUCUGCCUCGAAGUGUGGAAUAACGUUCCGAAAGGAACGCUAAUACCGCAUGCGCUCUCGAUUUUUAGAAAGUUGAGAGUAAAGGAUUUAUUCGCUUCGAGAGGAGCCUGCGUCCCAUCAGCUGGUUGGUAGGGUAACGGCCUACCAAGGCUAUGACGGGUAGGGGACCUGAGAGGGUGGCCCCCCACAAUGGAACUGAAACACGGUCCAUACACCUACGGGUGGCAGCAGUAGGGAAUAUUAGAAAUGGACGAAAGUCUGAUCUAGCAACACCGCGUGUGCGAAGAAGGCCUUCGGGUCGUAAAGCACUUUUUGGAAGGAAUAGGAAGGAAUGUACUUCCAGAAUAAGUCUCGGCUAACUACGUGCCAGCAGCCGCGGCAACACGUAGGAGGCGAACGUUAUCCGGAUUUACUGGGCGUAAAGCGCGUGUAGGUGGUACUGUAAGUAGGGCGUGAAAGCUCCCGGCUCAACUGGGAGAGGCCGUUCUAAACUACAGAACUAGAGGAUGGUAGAGGGAGGUGGAAUUCCAGGUGUAGCGGUGGAAUGCGCAGAUAUCUGGAGGAACACCGGUGGCGAAGGCGGCCUCCUGGACCAUUCCUGACACUCAGACGCGAAAGCUAGGGUAGCAAACGGGAUUAGAGACCCCGGUAGUCCUAGCCCUAAACGAUGUAGACUAGGCGUCGGAAGUUUAAUCACUUUCGGUGUCCAAGCUAACGCGAUAAGUCUACCGCCUGGGGACUACGGCCGCAAGGUUAAAACUCAAUGAAUUGACGG
rnacentral:rRNA from 1 species